AAAUAAAACUGCACAAGUUUCAGACGAUGACACUGUUGUCACCGUGGUGCUGCUGGGACAAAACAGCGCUGAUAAGUGCCUGAUAGGAAACACCAUGCUUGGGUAUAACUGCUUCCAGCCAGGAAAGUCCAUGUAUCAAAAGGCUCUAGGAAGAAUGAGGGACGAGCUGCUUUACAUUAUAAACACCCCAGACCUUUUCUGGAGAAUAUGCCAAGAACCAGAAGCCAAUGCUUUAGAGGAGAUGAAGCCAUCAUACACGGGUCCACGCAUGUUCCUCCUGGUUCUCCACGAUAAACAGCUGUCCCAGGAAGAGGUGGAGAUGUUUACCCAAAUGAAGGAGAGAUUUGGAGAGAAAAUGACAAAAAAUAUUACUGUAGUGUUGAUCGACAACAAAGAGACAUCAAGACAGUCCUGCAGCAUAGUGGAUAUAAACCUCAAAAAGAUUGUACAUGAAUGUGACGAGAGAAUUUGCGUCUUCAGCAAAGAUACGGCAGACUCAGAUCUGGUCAGACAGCUUCUGAUACAUAUUACGAAAACGCCAGAGAAAGUAGAAGCUGAUCCUGGCAGUUCAUCAUUAUCCUGUAGAUUACAUGAAGACAUGAAAAAGGAAGUUGAUCAGAAGGAAAACGAUGACUCAGAACAACCAAAGACAAUGCCAGGGGAGGAUGUGAAUGUCAAAUCAUUUGGAGGUGACUGCAAUAUCAUCACCAUGGUGCUUCUGGGAGUGAACAGCAAUGACAAGUGCCUGAUAGGGAACAGUAUUCUCCAGCAUGAUUGUUUCAUGGCUGGAAAAGUCACAUGUGAGAGGGUUGUGGCUAGAGUAGCUGAUCAGAUGGUCUGUAUUGUCAACACUCCUGACCUUUUCUAUAAACCAAGCCCAGAUUCAGUAGCUGACAGUAUGGAGGAGAUGAACCCAUCAUAUGCGGGUCCACGUAUGUUCAUCAUGGUACUGCAGGACAAAACUCUCUCACAGGAAGAGAUGGAGAUGUUCGCCCAACUGAAGCAGAGAUUUGGAAAGAAACAGCUUGAAAACAUGCUUGUUGUGCUCAUAGGUAACGAAGAAAAUAACUUAAGAGAGACCUUUGAAGCUGAUAAGACCCUCAAAAAGAUUCUAGAUGAGUGUAAGGAGACGGUUUAUGUUUACAGGAGUAAUGUGAAAAGCACUGAGCUGGUCGGACAGCUUAUAGGACAAAAGAACAUGCAAGCAGGAAUCUGAGAAAAACUGAAUAUACCAGUUAGAAAUCAGCUCAGUCCAUCUAAUAUGUUCUGUGUGAUUGAUAUCGUGCCAUAAAACAGAUUUUACUAAAUACAAAAGAAGAGUUGUAAUCCUACAGUGUAAUGUCUAUGUGUAACCAAAAGAUGCAAUAAACAUAUGCAACACAACCGCCAACAAUUCCUUCAUACAAUCUC
rnacentral:lncRNA from 1 species